rnacentral:rRNA from 1 species
GGGCCCGCACAAGCGGUGGAGCAUGUGGUUUAAUUCGACGCAACGCGAAGAACCUUACCAGGUCUUGACAUCCUGCGAACUUUCUAGAGAUAGAUUGGUGCCUUCGGGAACGCAGUGACAGGUGCUGCAUGGCUGUCGUCAGCUCGUGUCGUGAGGUGUUCGGUUAAGUCCGGUAACGAGCGCAACCCCUGUCCUUAGUUGCCAUCAUUCAGUUGGGCACUCUAAGGAGACUCCCGGUGUUAAACCGGCGGAAGAUGGGGAUGACGUCAAGUCCUCAUGGCCCUUACGGCUGGGGCUACACACGUACUACAAUGGCAACUACAAAGAGCAGCGAAGUCGCGAGGCCAAGCAAAUCUCAAAAAAGUUGCCUCAGUUCGGAUUGGAGUCUGCAACUCGACUCCAUGAAGUUGGAAUCGCUAGUAAUCGCGGAUC